GGUUGUUUUGUUCAUAUAGCAACCGUUGUCAUUGUGUAUUUUUUUUCCACAAUUUUCAUUUCGCUUUUGAUUUUAGCCGCCCUUACAGUGUGCUGCAAAAAAUCCGAUUGAUUCCGAAACAGGAAAGAACAAGCAGAUAGGUAUUACCGCCUCGGAACCUUCGGCAGGACUCAGGAGGAGCAAUUCCACUCUGCAGAUUGCGAUCAAAUUUGGGUGUCACUUCAGGAUGUGAUAAAUAUCGGCCAAGCUGAACAAUUUAAGCCUAUCGUCCCGGAUAUGUGUCUGGAGCACCUUUGGACAGAAAAUGUAGCUUUUGAAAGGGAUUUCAUGAAAAAGCGUCCACUGGGUUUCGACAAGUAGACGUGAUAAAUGACUUCCUACUGCUACGAUCGAAGAAAAUCACGACGAUGAGAAUCCAGGGAUCCCUUUCCGAUGUACGAACUAUCCCGCUAAGGACGGUUUCAGUUCAUAUUGCUGUUUGUUUGAAACGCAUUCCAGCGCAAGAAUUGCCUAACCGCUAGUACGGAAUGUGAAACUCAAUUUUGGCAUGGCUUUUCCAGUAGCCGAAAGUGAACAUUUGAACAACCGAUUGCGGAAGCUGGGUUUGACUGGCAAAGGGAGUCGUUGGCUCGAUCUGAAUUAUCUAUAACAAGCGGAACCCUUCGGGGUACAAUGGAUCUGACUGUUGAGUUGGAUAUCCAAGUCGCCUUGCACACGGGAAUUUAUCUGGUCUGGUAUCAAGGUACCGCCAAACGAACCCCGGAAUUAAAAAAAAAAAAACACUUCGUUGAACAUGAGCAUUUUAUGUGUUUUGUUGGCGAAGCAACUGUCGACGAAAAAAAAUUAGCAGGCUGUGAGAAAAAGUCUCGAAUGGAUCUUUGAAUGUCAGCAGCAGUAAUUAUACAAACGAAAAUACUCUUGACGGGAGCGACCACGUCGCAAGCGUUGUACAAAAUUUUCCUUUUAGCGCGCCACAAUGCCUCGACCAUCGAUCGUCAUAGUUUCGGCACCUGAAAAUGGGACAUAUAGGCUUAUUCAACAUGAGUACCGGUCAGUUGACUACGUCGAGUUCGAAACCAUCCGCAAACGCACUUCCACCUUGGAGUAGGAGGAGGAGCAUACGAUCACCGGAAGCGAUCGCAGCGAGCAUACCACUCGAUAUUUCCCACCGUAUCAUCCGUAAUUUAUAUCCGCGAUGUGUUGGAAAUCGAGCCGCCAUCCUUCGUGCCGCGCUAUGUCGAUAGUGGCAAAUUGUGCUUGUCCGAAAUCUUAAACUAUCUGAAACAAAACGGAACCGAAAUCUCCACCACAUACCUGUUUCAACAAGGAUAAUUGCAAAAUUUUAGAGUGAGUAGAUAUCGGAAGACUGGUCAAGCUAGGCCAAGACCGGUUGCACAGGUCCAGAAAACUCUUAGAUAGGCGAUAGGAUUUCGGCAAUAAUAGAAAAUAAUAAAAUAAAAUGAAUGCUAAUAAAAUUUCAAUUUAUUUUGUCGAA